CUUCAUGUAUUUUUUUUAUCAUAUUACAUGCAAGUUCGAACGCUUCUUUUUCCACCGGAGCUUGCUCCACCGGAAAAAGAAGAGUGGCGAACGGGUGAGUAACACGUGGGUAACCUGCCCAUCAGAAGGGGAUAACACUUGGAAACAGGUGCUAAUACCGUAUAACAAUCUAAACCGCAUGGUUUUGAUUUGAAAGGCGCUUUCGGGUGUCGCUGAUGGAUGGACCCGCGGUGCAUUAUCUAGUUGGUGAGGUAACGGCUCACCAAGGCGACUAUGCAUACCCGACCUGAGAGGGAGAUCGGCCACAUUGGGACUGAGACACGGCCCAAACUCCUACGGGAGGCAGCAGUAGGGAAUCUUCGGCAAUGGACGAAAGUCUGACCGAGCAACGCCGCGUGAGUGAAGAAGGUUUUCGGAUCGUAAAACUCUGUUGUUAGAGAAGAACAAGGAUGAGAGUAACUGUUCAUCCCUUGACGGUAUCUAACCAGAAAGCCACGGCUAACUACGUGCCAACAGCCGCGGUAAUACGUAGGUGGCAAGCGUUGUCCGGAUUUUUUGGGCGUAAAGCGAGCGCAGGCGGUUUCUUAAGUCUGAUGUGAAAGCCCCCGGCUCAACCGGGGGAGGGUCAUUGGAAACUGGGAGACUUUGAGUGCAAAAAGAGGAGAGUGAAAUUCCGUGUGUAGCGGAGAAAAUGCGUAGAUAUAUGGAGGAACACCUGUGGCGAAGGCGGCUCUCUGGUCUGUAACUGACGCUGAGGCUCGAAAGCGUGGGGAGAAACAGGAUUAAAUACCCUGGUAGCCCCCCGCCGAAACGA
rnacentral:rRNA from 1 species